CUUUCUCUCACUUACGUUCUUCUCCACUUCUUAUCACAGGAAAAAAAUCCACCACCAUCUUCAUCGCUACAACCAACCCCACAACCGACAACACUACAACUAGCACCACCACCUUCAUCAUGUCCGCCACUACUAUCAACAGAUCUAUUAUGAUUGGUGUUUAAUUCGUGUUCUAUCAUGUUUUGCUUCCUCCUCUUCCGUAACGACAUCCAUCGACAACAUCAGAAGUAGAGAUUUUGUUCUGGAUCGAUGGAGAACAGUCGAUGAAAAUCAGCAGUAACAACUGAAUACAAAGGUGUGGAACAUCAAUAGAGAAAUGAAGUCAGUCAUUGAGUUCAAACAUAAUGAAAUAGCUAGAUUGGAGUCUGUUGAAGUUGAGAAGAAUGGGUUUUGUUUGGAUUUGAUUUUGAACAAAGAAAAAAGAUGAUUGCUGUUAUUAAUGGAAAUUGAGGUUUGACAGUGGCUAAGUUCAAUGAAGAAUUAGGACCUGUGAUUAUUCAAUUCGGGGUUUUAAGUGACGAACUACAGAGAACUAGUUAAAGAAGAUGAUGGAUAUUGGCUGCUACUGUUACAGGGAAGAGAAUCGGGAUGGAGUUCAUUGGAGCUGAGAAGAUAGAGAAGAAGAGAGGAUGUCCUAUGCUGGUGAUGCUGUGUUGCAGUGGUUGGGAUAUUGUAGUUCAAGAUGGUUGUGUGGAUAUAAUGGAAGAAGCUAGUAUUUCAGUAAUGGAUUGUAGUUGGUUGAUGUGUUGAUGCUGUUAUUGCAGUGUCAUUGCAAGUGGUUGGUGGACAAGACUGAUAUGGAGAAUAAAAGAACAAGAUACUGAAGAAUGAAGUAAUUAGGUCUUGUUUAGGAAAUUGAUUCUCUGAGCUGAUGGAAUUCUGGGAUGUGAAUGAAUCUCUUGCAGAUAUGUAUGCUAGGGAGUGAAUUCACAGAGAGAUGAUGCUAGUUCUGGUGUCAGGUGCCAAGAUGUAGCUGAUGGAUGUUGUAGAUGACAUGGUUUUGCAGUGAUGAACAGAGGGAAGAAGGAGAGGAUGGUGAGUGUAGAUAGUUAUGAAUCUGUGUUAAUGUCCGUGGUUGAAUUUGUUUACUCAAGAAGCUAGAGGAAGUAGUUAUCUGUGGUCAAGAGAAUGAUGGUGUUGGUUGAAGAAGCAGUGAAGAAAUGAUGUGGCUGAAUUACAAGUAGUGAAGCAAUAAAUGUAUGUUCAGGAAUUGUAGGUGAUGGAGAGUUGAGCUACAAAAUGCAGUGUGAUACUGCUGCUUUACAGAUGAAAUGGCUAGGUCAAGAAGGAGCUGUAUGUGAGGUCUGCACUGGUGGAAGACAGCUAGUUGAAGCCGAGUAGUGAGAAUGUGUUGAAUAAAUGGAAAUCAAGAUUGCAGGGGAGCUGUAAUGAUGCUGGAACAAUUGUGCUCGGAUGCAGAGAAUGAAGCUGUAGCACUGGUGGAAGACAGCUAGUUGAAGCCGAGUAGUGAGAAUUUAUUGAAUAAAUGGAUCUCAAGAUUGCAGGGGAGCUAUAAUGAUGCUGGAACAACUGUGCUGGGAUGCAGAGGAUGAAGCUGUAGCGGUAUGGAUUGAAUGAAUGGGUUUGUUAAAAUUGCAGGUUGGGAUUGAAUGAGGAUGUCCUAUGCUGAUGAUGAUGCUGUUACAGAAAUUUCAGGAAGUAACAGGUGCAGUAGAUUUCAGGUAUACUCUGUCUUGAUGCAAUUAUUGAUUCAGUAAAUUUCAUUUGCUUGAAUAGUCUGAUAUUGAACUGCAGCAACAUCGAAAGUUGCUCCAUUUUGUUUGCUGCAUGCAUCUCUUGGACUCUGUAUUUUGGGGAAAAUUAGAGAAAGUUGCUUUCACUUUUGGAGAUAAUUUAAGCUAGUUGAUUCCAUCUUUGAAGGCAACUUGAGCUAGUUGAUUCCAGAAUCGAAGAUUCGGAGACAACUGGAGUUAGUUGAUUACAUUUUGUUUUGCAACUUGUUCCUAUACACUAUUUGUUGGAGACAACUGGAGCAAGUUGCCGCCGAUAUGGACACAACUUCAGCAAGUUGACCCCACAUGGUGGCGGUGGUCGUUGGCGGCAAUGGUGGUUGGCGGCGGCGGUAGGUGGCGGUUAUUGGCGGUGACGAUGUGAUUAAUGCCGGUGGUAGAGUACAGUGGUGGUGUUGG